rfam:Hordeum vulgare subsp. vulgare, WGS project CAJW01000000 data, contig: morex_contig_47296
CAGGCUGUGAUGAUCAAAAAACCUACCUAUUUUCUGAGGGAUCUCGAUCGAUGCCCCCUGCAGAGAAACCAACUAUUUCUUCUGAGCCU